CCGUGCCCCUGCUCGCGCUGCAGCCCGUGGAAGGGUUCCGUCCAGCGUAUCCUUCAGAUCUUGCUGUAGGCCUCUGGUGUCUGUGCGCGCGCGGCAGGGGCGGCGGCGGCGACGGCCGGAGGUGUACGGUCAGCGGGUUGCGGAGGAUCGUGCGGGUCGCAAAGGGAAGCCGAGUGCUCCUGCGGCUCCCAGACUGCAACCAGGUGUAAAUCCAAACCGCUUCCAACUCAAGGCAAGUAACAGCCCACGGUGUUCUGGCAGGAAAACAUCAGCUAAGAAAGGAAACUGGGUCCUAUGGCUUGGACUUUCCAACUCUGACAGACCGGCAGGACAGAAACAACUGGUUCAGGAGCCCUUGCCAGCCUCUAGAGAAAUCCCAGAACACUCAGCCCUGAUGACACAUUAAUACCCUGCACAUAUUGGAGACUGCUGACCACGCAUACUCACCAAGCCACAGACUUGUCUUCCACAAGCACGUUCUUACCUCAGCCACAAAGUGCCCAAGCCACAUGUACUAAAGGUUGAAAUCAGAGACAUGUACAGGGUAUUAAACAGAUACCAAGGGGAACAGUUAACUUGAAUAUAGCUUGAAUAGAAAGUCAAAAUCAGCAACAAGUCUACAAUCCAGUGCUGAUAUCAGAUACAAGCUUCAAGGACAACUUUCUGUGUAUGUUUUUUUUUUUUUUUUUGAGACGUAGUCUCGCCCUGUUGCCCAGGCUGGAGUGCAGUGGUGCAAUCUCGGCUCACCACAACCUCUGCCUCCCAGGUUCAAGUGAUUCUCCUGCCUCAGCCUCCCCAGUAGCUGGGAUUAUAGGCGAAUGCCACCAUGCCUGGCUAAUUUUUGUAUUUUUAGUAGAGACGGGGUUUCAGCAUGUUGGCCAGGCCGGUCUCAAACUCCUGACCUUGUGAUCCACCCGUCUCGGCCUCCCAAAGUGCUGGGAUUAUAGGCGUGAGCCACCACUUCUGGCCACAAAUUUCUUUUUGAAGGCUUAUUCCAGUUUUGUGAGGCUAGCAUGAGGUGUAUGCAUUUGCCAGGGGCAAAUUUAUACUGCUGAAUUAACCCAUGCAACAAAUGCUGCACAUCUGCUCGCAGUCCAUUUAGAGGCAUUUGCGGUAGACAAUGGAGGGGCCAGACUCAUCAUACAUACCUGAUGGCUAACCCACAUGCUUGCAGUCCAUUUAGAGGCAUUUGCAGUGGAUGAUGGAGGGGCCACAUACCUAAUUGCUAAUCCACAUCUGCUGGAAGGUGGACAGUGAGGCCAGGAUGGAACCACCAAUCCACACCGAGUACUUGUGCUCUGGGGGCAUGAUGAACUUGAUCUUCAUGGUGCUGGAUGCCAGCGUGGUGAUGCCAGGGCACAUGGUGGUGCUGCUGGACAGCACUGUGUUGGCGUACAGGUCUUUGCGGAUGUCCACGUCACACUUCAUGAUGGAGUUGAAGGUGGUCUUGUGGAUGCCGCAGGAUUCCAUGCCCAAGAAGGAAGGCUGGAACAGCACCUGCAGACACCAGAACCACUUGUUGCCGAUGGUGAUGACCUGACCUGGCCAUCAGGCAGCUCAUAGCUCUUCUCCAGGGAGGAGGAGGAUGUGGCAGUGGCCAUCUCCUGCUCGAAGUCCAGGGCGAUGUAGCACACCUUCUCGUUGAUGUCGCGCACAAUCUCCUGCUUGGCCGUGAUGGUGAAGCUUGGUGAGGAUCUUCAUGAGGUAGUUGGUCAGGUCCUGGCCAGCCAGGUCCAGACGCAGGAUGGCGUGGUGGGAGGGCAUGGCCCUCGUAGAUGGGUACCAUGUAGGUGGCCCUGUCUCCAGAGUCCAUGACAGUGCCAGUGAUGCGCCCAGAGGCUUAGAGGGACAACACGGCCUGGAUGGCCACAUACAUGGCUGGGGUGUUGAAGGUCUCAAACAUGAUCUGAGUCAUCUUUUCUCUGUUGGCCUUGGGGUUCGAGGGGCCUCGGCCAACAGCACCGGGUGCUUCUCUGGGGUCAUGCACAGCUCGUUGUAGAAGGUGUGGUGCCAGAUCUUCUCCAUGUCAUCCCAGAUGGUGAUGAUGCCAUGCUCGAUAGGGUACUUCAGGGUCAGGAUGUCGUGCUUGCUCUGGGCCUCAUGGCCCAUGUAGGAGUCCUUCUGGCCCAUGCCCACCAUCACACCCUGGUGCCGGGGUCACCUGAUGAUGGAGGGGAACACAGCUCAGGGGCCAUCCAUCCCCAGCAAAGCCAGCUUUGCACAUGCCAGAGCCAUUGUCAAUGAUGAGCGCGGCGAUCUCUAUUUCCAUUGCAACCUGUGGAAGAGCAGGGCGGUGGAGCCAUGGGAAGACACGGUGUGGGGGCUGGUGGCAGCAAGUGACUGUAUUACUGGAUUUUGAAGUUAACAAUUAGCCAAAUACUGAUUUUUGAUGGAAAUUUAUUCUUAAUUAUUUUCUUUUAGAAAAAAA
rnacentral:lncRNA from 1 species